AGAUCAGAUGGACUCCUGAUUGAUUGCUCACACCGGUCACAGAGUGGAUCUCAGAUGGAAGGUAAAACUGAUGAAGGUGCUGGAUGAACAUCAUGCUGUGCAUGACUUCACACAGGUGGCCUAACCAUGGGAGGGAAGAGAGGCUGGUCAGGCUCCCUGAGGACGAUCAAGUGUCUGGAGCAUUGCGGAAGUUAAGGACCUUGCUUAAAGGCACAUCAUCCAGAGUGAAUGGAAACCAAGCACAUCCUUCCUUCGGGAAAUGAUGGAGUUUGAUCCAGCAACCCCAUGAUCUUAAGAGCAUUUCCCUAACCGUUUGGCCACAGCUGCCACAGUAUCUCAGUCUCAAGAGUGAGGAAGAGGGAGGAUGUGUUUGGUAAGA